rnacentral:rRNA from 1 species
GGGUUGUGAGGUUAAGCGACUAAGCGUACACGGUGGAUGCCCUGGCAGUCAGAGGCGAUGAAGGACGUGCUAAUCUGCGAUAAGCGUCGGUAAGGUGAUAUGAACCGUUAUAACCGGCGAUUUCCGAAUGGGGAAACCCAGUGUGAUUCGUCACACUAUCAUUAACUGAAUCCAUAGGUUAAUGAGGCGAACCGGGGGAACUGAAACAUCUAAGUACCCCGAGGAAAAGAAAUCAACCGAGAUUCCCCCAGUAGCGGCGAGCGAACGGGGAGCAGCCCAGAGCCUGAAUCAGUGUGUGUGUUAGUGGAAGCGUCUGGAAAGGCGCGCGAUACAGGGUGACAGCCCCGUACACAAAAAUGCACAUGCUGUGAGCUCGAUGAGUAGGGCGGGACACGUGGUAUCCUGUCUGAAUAUGGGGGGACCAUCCUCCAAGGCUAAAUACUCCUGACUGACCGAUAGUGAACCAGUACCGUGAGGGAAAGGCGAAAAGAACCCCGGCGAGGGGAGUGAAAAAGAACCUGAAACCGUGUACGUACAAGCAGUGGGAGCACAGAGCAAUCUGUGUGACUGCGUACCUUUUGUAUAAUGGGUCAGCGACUUAUAUUCUGUAGCAAGGUUAACCGAAUAGGGGAGCCGAAGGGAAACCGAGUCUUAACUGGGCGUUAAGUUGCAGGGUAUAGACCCGAAACCCGGUGAUCUAGCCAUGGGCAGGUUGAAGGUUGGGUAACACUAACUGGAGGACCGAACCGACUAAUGUUGAAAAAUUAGCGGAUGACUUGUGGCUGGGGGUGAAAGGCCAAUCAAACCGGGAGAUAGCUGGUUCUCCCCGAAAGCUAUUUAGGUAGCGCCUCGUGAAUUCAUCUCCGGGGGUAGAGCACUGUUUCGGCAAGGGGGUCAUCCCGACUUACCAACCCGAUGCAAACUGCGAAUACCGGAGAAUGUUAUCACGGGAGACACACGGCGGGUGCUAACGUCCGUCGUGAAGAGGGAAACAACCCAGACCGCCAGCUAAGGUCCCAAAGUCAUGGUUAAGUGGGAAACGAUGUGGGAAGGCCCAGACAGCCAGGAUGUUGGCUUAGAAGCAGCCAUCAUUUAAAGAAAGCGUAAUAGCUCACUGGUCGAGUCGGCCUGCGCGGAAGAUGUAACGGGGCUAAACCAUGCACCGAAGCUGCGGCAGCGACGCUGAUGCGUUGUUGGGUAGGGGAGCGUUCUGUAAGCCUGCGAAGGUGUGCUGUGAGGCAUGCUGGAGGUAUCAGAAGUGCGAAUGCUGACAUAAGUAACGAUAAAGCGGGUGAAAAGCCCGCUCGCCGGAAGACCAAGGGUUCCUGUCCAACGUUAAUCGGGGCAGGGUGAGUCGACCCCUAAGGCGAGGCCGAAAGGCGUAGUCGAUGGGAAACAGGUUAAUAUUCCUGUACUUGGUGUUACUGCGAAGGGGGGACGGAGAAGGCUAUGUUGGCCGGGCGACGGUUGUCCCGGUUUAAGCGUGUAGGCUGGUUUUCCAGGCAAAUCCGGAAAAUCAAGGCUGAGGCGUGAUGACGAGGCACUACGGUGCUGAAGCAACAAAUGCCCUGCUUCCAGGAAAAGCCUCUAAGCAUCAGGUAACAUCAAAUCGUACCCCAAACCGACACAGGUGGUCAGGUAGAGAAUACCAAGGCGCUUGAGAGAACUCGGGUGAAGGAACUAGGCAAAAUGGUGCCGUAACUUCGGGAGAAGGCACGCUGAUAUGUAGGUGAAGUCCCUCGCGGAUGGAGCUGAAAUCAGUCGAAGAUACCAGCUGGCUGCAACUGUUUAUUAAAAACACAGCACUGUGCAAACACGAAAGUGGACGUAUACGGUGUGACGCCUGCCCGGUGCCGGAAGGUUAAUUGAUGGGGUCAGCGCAAGCGAAGCUCUUGAUCGAAGCCCCGGUAAACGGCGGCCGUAACUAUAACGGUCCUAAGGUAGCGAAAUUCCUUGUCGGGUAAGUUCCGACCUGCACGAAUGGCGUAAUGAUGGCCAGGCUGUCUCCACCCGAGACUCAGUGAAAUUGAACUCGCUGUGAAGAUGCAGUGUACCCGCGGCAAGACGGAAAGACCCCGUGAACCUUUACUAUAGCUUGACACUGAACAUUGAGCCUUGAUGUGUAGGAUAGGUGGGAGGCUUUGAAGUGUGGACGCCAGUCUGCAUGGAGCCGGCCUUGAAAUACCACCCUUUAAUGUUUGAUGUUCUAACGUUGACCCGUAAUCCGGGUUGCGGACAGUGUCUGGUGGGUAGUUUGACUGGGGCGGUCUCCUCCUAAAGAGUAACGGAGGAGCACGAAGGUUGGCUAAUCCUGGUCGGACAUCAGGAGGUUAGUGCAAUGGCAUAAGCCAGCUUGACUGCGAGCGUGACGGCGCGAGCAGGUGCGAAAGCAGGUCAUAGUGAUCCGGUGGUUCUGAAUGGAAGGGCCAUCGCUCAACGGAUAAAAGGUACUCCGGGGAUAACAGGCUGAUACCGCCCAAGAGUUCAUAUCGACGGCGGUGUUUGGCACCUCGAUGUCGGCUCAUCACAUCCUGGGGCUGAAGUAGGUCCCAAGGGUAUGGCUGUUCGCCAUUUAAAGUGGUACGCGAGCUGGGUUUAGAACGUCGUGAGACAGUUCGGUCCCUAUCUGCCGUGGGCGCUGGAGAACUGAGGGGGGCUGCUCCUAGUACGAGAGGACCGGAGUGGACGCAUCACUGGUGUUCGGGUUGUCAUGCCAAUGGCACUGCCCGGUAGCUAAAUGCGGAAGAGAUAAGUGCUGAAAGCAUCUAAGCACGAAACUUGCCCCGAGAUGAGUUCUCCCUGACUCCUUGAGAGUCCUGAAGGAACGUUGAAGACGACGACGUUGAUAGGCCGGGUGUGUAAGCGCAGCGAUGCGUUGAGCUAACCGGUACUAAUGAACCGUGAGGCUUAACCUUACAACGCCGAAGGUGUUU